rnacentral:RNase_P_RNA from 1 species
GGAGUCGGCCGGACAGUCGCGUCAUCGGCCCAUUUCGGUGGGUGCGGAUGCCGAGGAAAGUCCGGGCUCCACAGGGCACGGUGCCAGGUAACCCCUGGGCGGCGCGAGCCGACGGAAAGUGCAACAGAAAGAUACCGCCGAACGCUCAGGCAGUUCCGCAAGGAGCGGCAGGAGGCGUGGCAAGGGUGAAAUGGUGCGGUAAGAGCGCACCGCGAGCCUGGCAACAGGCCGGUACGGCAAACCCCACCGGGAGCAAGACCAAAUAGGGAGACGAUGCCGUGGCCCGCGGUGUCUCCGGGUAGGUUGCUCGAGCGUCGCGGUGACGCGGCGCCUAGAGGAAUGACUGUCCACGACAGAACCCGGCUUACAGGCCGGCUCCGCCA